UAGUGCCAGCUCUUCUUACUCGGG
rnacentral:piRNA from 1 species